UACGGAGGGAGCUAGCGUUGUUCGGAAUUACUGGGCGUAAAGCGCGCGUAGGCGGCUUUGUAAGUUAGAGGUGAAAGCCCGGAGCUCAACUCCGGAACUGCCUUUAAAACUGCAUCGCUUGAAUCCAGGAGAGGUGAGUGGAAUUCCGAGUGUAGAGGUGAAAUUCGUAGAUAUUCGGAAGAACACCAGUGGCGAAGGCGGCUCACUGGACUGGUAUUGACGCUGAGGUGCGAAAAGCGUGGGGGAGCAAACAGGGAUU
rnacentral:rRNA from 1 species